GAAUUAAGAGAAUUGAAAGAGGGGUAUACACAGUAAUGAGACAAAGUCGAGUCGACACACCCACAUAGACAUAGUCUUCUUCCAUCCCCAUUCAUAAAUAAAAGCAAACCCCUUUCCAAUUGAAAGUGCUUUUUUCACUUUCAAUUUUUCUAUAUUUGUUUCUCCAAUUUUGUCACUGAGGUUUAAGAUCAGAGAGAAUUAGAGUGUUCUAUUCAUGGAAACUUACUUGCAAUUCAUUGUUUCUUGCUUUCAGUUGAACACUGGAUUUCAUUGCAAUUUUCCCCUUUCAAGUUGGUGAUGAUGUUUGCCUCUUGGAACCCAUGGCAGUGUCUUUGUGAAAAUCUUGUUCUUUCAGGUGAUUUCUAUAAUCUAAUCUCUCACACGCAUUUUCACAAACACUUGGAACACCUGUAAUUUCCGGGAUUUUCUCUGUUUUGGUUUCAUUGUGGCAAGCAUAGAAGUAAGAGAUCUAGAGUAAUACUUGGUGACAACAACAAGCUCUAAUCAUGUCAGAUUCUAGUUCUUCAACAUCUCCUACAGGAAAGCACAAGAAAUCUAGUACUGUCUAAACCAAUUCUGAAUUGUUGUGUUUGAAUUGCUGGGUGUUGUACUGCCGGUAGGUGCGUGGGUAGAAAGUGGCAGAGUUGAGUUAGUGUGGUGGUUUCCCCUAUUUUUGGCUUCUGCGUAUUUUGAUUUGGGAUUUGUCCUUUUAUAUUUCUGGGUUGUGAUGCCCCUAGCUUUACCAUUUUAUAUAUUAUUUCCGGGUUGUGUAUUCAUGCUGCAAACUGGUUAUUUUUCUCUUUCUGAAAUUUUAGAGUGAAUUUUGGGUAUGUAUUUUCUUAGUUUUUAGAUGUAGAUGUGUGAAGAAGAUGAAGAUCUAAUAUGUUUGUUGAAGGAAAUUUUUGUUUUUCUUAGUUUUUCAAGAUUCAAAUGAAGAUGUUGAAGAAGAUGCUUGAAGAAGAUGAAUAAUGGAUGAAGGUUGCAGGGAUUUCAUUUUUUAAUUUUUAGUUUAUUUUUUUCCCAGAGAUGAAUGACUAAAUUGAAGCCUUUCAAAAGUUCAUACAAAAAAAAAAUUCAUGUCAACAUUCCGUUAACGGCGUCAGCUUUUUUGUAACCCAGGGACGGUUCAUGAGAGAGAUUUGCACAUCCAGGGACCACGGGUGUUAUUUUGAAAGUUUAGAGACGAAGUUGAAGACGGUGGACACAUUCAGGGACGAACUUGGCUAUUUACCCUGUAAAAAAGGCUUGUUGCUAGCCAGCCUUAGAGCAUGGUUUUCGAAGACUUAUGGUAGAGUCUGACUCUGAGAUUGUAAUUCGUGCUGUGAAUGGACAAGUUCCCCAUAAUUCAUAUAUGUCUCCUCUUGUUGCUGCGAUCAAGCGUUUGAUUCCAGAGUUUGAUGUUAUUUUCUUUGGUCAUGUAUAUAGGAAUGCUAAUUAUAACGUUGCUCAUUGUCUAGCUAAAUAUAUACUCUGAUUCUCAUGGGGAUAUGAUCUGGACUGAGAGGUUUCCUAUUUAUUUUAAUGUUUGUAUUCAGGCGGAUAUUCUAC
rnacentral:lncRNA from 1 species